GAUCGAAGCGGGAGAGGAAAACACUUUCAAAUGACAAUUCUGGAGAAGAUGGGCCUGCAGGGGAAAGUCACCCCCUUGCAGGCCAGAAGACAUGAGAUAACUUUAAAGAAUACAAAGAUUGCAAGUAUCCAGGCUCAGGAGAGGGGGUCAGUGGGAAGCCCACUGCUGCUACUUGGCCCUGGUUUGCCCUCAUGGAUGAGGUGAUAGGACAGAGGCCUUCCAUUAAGCCUCUUGUCCAAAUGUCCUCUCUCCCUGAGGACACUCCAGGGCCGAGCACAGCAGUGGGUGACCAAAACGACAGCGAUGACGAAGCGGCUCAGCCACCUACGACAGGGAGAAAGAGGGAAAGAGAUGAUGAGCUGCUAGACCUCAUCAGAGAGGACAUGAGGCAGCAAAGAGAGGCUGAGGAGAGGAGAGCAGGGAGAGGAUGGACAGACUGUUUUCACUUCUAGAAAGAUUAGUU